rnacentral:lncRNA from 1 species
CAGGGCUCAGAACAUGAAACUCCAAGGUAUGGCACCCUUAAGUGCUAAAUAUUUUGAAAUAAAGGAUUUGGGGGCUGGGGAUGUAGCUCAGUGAUAGUGUGUGCUUAGCAUGUGCAAGGGUUCCAUCCCAACACCAAAAAUUAAUUAAUUAAUAAAAUAAAAAGACUGGAAGGGCCUAAGAGCAAGGUCUCUCUGACCUCCUGCCCUUACUUUCUUCCCUGAAGUGAGCUACAGAAAUCAGAAUUUUUCUUCUCCAAAAUGGGUCACAGAAACUAGAAUCACAUAAGGUGUAGUGGUACACACUUGGAAUCCCAGUUUACUUGAGCAGCUGAGGCAAGAAGAUCAUAAAUUUAAGUCCAGUCUGGACAACCUAGGAAACCCGGUCUCGAAAUUUAAAAAAUAACAAGGGCUGAGGAUGUAAUUCAGUGGUAGAGUGCCCUGGGUUCAGUCCCUCAUAUCAAAAACAAAAAUACAGAACCCUAUUCCCCUAAAGCAAACCAUAAACCUAGAAAGGUUAUUUACCCUUUCCCUUCUCCCUUGAACACCCUUUUUUUUUAAAGAGAGAGUGAGUGAGAGCGCGUGCGCGCACGAGAGAGAGAGAGAGAGAGAGAGAGAGAGAGAGAGAGAGAGAGAGAGAGAGAGAAUUUUCUUUUAAUAUUUAUUUUUUAGUUUUCGGUGGACACAACAUCUUUGUUUGUAUGUGGUGCUGAGGAUCGAACCCGGGCCGCACGCAUGCCAGGCGAGCGAGCUACCGCUUGAGCCACAUCCCCAGCCCCCUUGAACACCCUUAUUCCAGAGGAAUCUUGCUCCACAUCCAGGAGAAACGAAUGAUGAUGCACAGAGGCUGAGAAGAAUCUGGACAGGCCAUGCUGGACUUCCCGCUUAAUCCAUCAUACCCUUUUUGUCCAAAAAUGUUUCUAUGUGACUAUUCAUGCUUCAUCAGACUUAAGCAUGAACCUUGAAAUGAAGACCCCUGGGUCUCUGGGCCUUCAUUUUGAAAGGGUCCCAUAUCACAUUAAACUUUAAUUAAAUAAAUUUUGCUAUGCUUUUCUCUUAUUAACCUGUCUUUUGUUACAGGAAUGUCCAUGUGAACCUUAUGAUGAGUGAGGAAAAUUAUCCCACCAUUCUACCCACCAAAGACCUAUGCUAAAUACUUGGCACUGUGGAGACAUAUAAUAAACAAUAAUUACAGACUUAAUAUGUGCAUGGACCAAGUGAUAUGAUGGGGUCAGGAAGGAAGCCUCUUUGAGGAGGUAAGCUUAUGCUCAGAAUUAGAAGAUGAGUCCACCAGGCUAAAAGUCAAGGAAGACUGUUCCA